rnacentral:rRNA from 1 species
UUCUUGGCUCAGGACGAACGCUGGCGGCGUGCCUAAUACAUGCAAGUCGAGCGCGGGAAGCGAGUGGAUCCCUUCGGGGUGAAGCUCGUGGAACGAGCGGCGGACGGGUGAGUAACACGUGGGCAACCUGCCUGUAAGAUCGGAAUAACCCCGGGAAACCGGGGCUAAUGCCGGAUAAUACUUUCUUUCGCAUGAAGGAAAGUUGAAAGAUGGCUUCUUGCUAUCACUUACAGAUGGGCCCGCGGCGCAUUAGCUAGUUGGUGAGGUAACGGCUCACCAAGGCGACGAUGCGUAGCCGACCUGAGAGGGUGAUCGGCCACACUGGGACUGAGACACGGCCCAGACUCCUACGGGAGGCAGCAGUAGGGAAUCUUCCGCAAUGGACGAAAGUCUGACGGACCCACGCCGCGUGAACGAUGAAGGUCUUCGGAUCGUAAAGUUCUGUUGUUAGGGAAGAACAAGUACCGUGCGAAUAGAGCGGUACCUUGACGGUACCCUAACGAGGAAACCCCCCGGCUAACUACGUGCCCAGCAGCCGCGGGUAAU